UCAAAUGCUCAUCCUUGCUUAAACUAAAUAUUUUCAGUUACGUACGAUCGACCUGAAGGCUCAGGCACGAACAGGGGAAAAGAAAAGUUGUUCGAAUGAGAUUUAGUAUGAGUUAAUGGUUAUAGUCAGUAAAACAAUGGAAUCUAUUGUCAGGUAUUGUAAGGAAUGUAUUUGAAGGUCACGUACCUGGGAAAGUAAACUUUGAUGUAUGUAAAUUAAGUUCGAAUUAUAUUAUUAUUAUUAUUUAGUAUUAUUCAGCUUAAAGAAAUGGUAUCGUGGAGAACCGAGUUCGGGUUUCAAGUAUCCGGAUUUGGGGUCGCCACAGAGCUCACCCAUUUUCUUUCAUUGUUCUCUUCAGGAAAUGAGAACGUAGCUGGGAAUAGUCGGGGAACAGAGUGAUGGUCCUAGAUGGUGCACUAGUAGUCCUCACUAUUCUGUGAAAUAGUGUGAUAAUAAAUGUAAUGUGGACUCCAUUGAGUGUGGAUAUUGUCUAGAUGACAAUAUUUGUAUUAAAACUCACAACCUAUGUUUUGUCGUAUUUUACACGACUAUUGUAUAAUUAGUUUGUAUUUGUAUUCAGUACUUUGUAUCUUGCGACCCAAGAUGGGUGAUGUAUACCUAUUUUGGGGGCGUCACAGUUGGUAAUAAAGAUUAGGGAUAUGAUCCCUGGCUGAGAUGUGAGACAAGAACUAGGGAUAUGAUCCCUGGUUUAGAAAUUGGACUAUAUUGAUUCUUGG
rnacentral:lncRNA from 1 species